rnacentral:lncRNA from 1 species
UCCACAUAUUUUAGGUCAAAGCAAAAAGAUGUCUCUCUGCUGAUGUCAUAGCUCAUAGUCAUAACAAACUCAUGGCAAACUGGACUGGAUUCUUUGGGGAAAGAACGUGUUUAGCCACAGAGUAACUGAAAGUCUUAGGUUGGGAACACAAGAAAAGAAAAGAAAUUCCUAUCUUGAUGAACUACAUCAAAAUAUGUGGAUUGACUGUAACUCUUCUACAUCAGAAAGUAAGUUGAGAGCUUGAGGGCUCUAAGUUUCAGAUAAAAUUAUAAUACCAUAAUUGCAAAAAUUAGUAGUAAUUCUGUUAUUUAGUCCUAUGUGUGAUGAUAAGUAACACAGAAAGCCCAUCUCAUUUCAAAACUGAAAGACCUUUCUGCUGGUCCUCUUUAACUUGCAGUGAGGACUAGAGAAGCCUUCUGUUUCACUCCUCAGCAC